AUGCACGCUGGCGGCGUGCCUCAUACCUGCAAGUCGAGCGAACGGACGAGAAGCUUGCUUCUCUGAUGUUAGCGGCGGACGGGUGAGUAACACGUGGAUAACCUACCUAUAAGACUGGGAUAACUUCGGGAAACCGGAGCUAAUACCGGAUAAUAUUUUGAACCGCAUGGUUCAAAAGUGAAAGACGGUCUUGCUGUCACUUAUAGAUGGAUCCGCGCUGCAUUAGCUAGUUGGUAAGGUAACGGCUUACCAAGGCAACGAUGCAUAGCCGACCUGAGAGGGUGAUCGGCCACACUGGAACUGAGACACGGUCCAGACUCCUACGGGAGGCAGCAGUAGGGAAUCUUCCGCAAUGGGCGAAAGCCUGACGGAGCAACGCCGCGUGAGUGAUGAAGGUCUUCGGAUCGUAAAACUCUGUUAUUAGGGAAGAACAUAUGUGUAAGUAACUGUGCACAUCUUGACGGUACCUAAUCAGAAAGCCGCGGCUAACUACGUG
rnacentral:rRNA from 1 species